rnacentral:tRNA from 1 species
GCUGGGGCUCAGUGGUAGAGGGCUCGCCCACCGUGCACGAGGCACUGGGUUCGAUCCUCCGCCCCGCA